rnacentral:rRNA from 1 species
CAGUCGUACCUUCGGGUAAUCAGCCUUUCGAGUGCGAUUCUGUGGAGUGUGAGGAGCUAAACACCUUCAUGCCUGCAUAUUCGUGCACUUUGGGUGUACUUGCCCGUGUGUAAGUUAACAUCAAUUUUGGUGGUCAUAAAAUGACUGGAGGAAUGUAGCUUCGAUCUUGUAUUGAAGUGUUAUAGCCUUCGGUAGAUGUGAUGAUCGGGAUUGAGGAUUGCAACGGAUACCCUUCGGGGCUACCUGUCUGGUCUCUGAUCGUUGCUCUGGUGCCGAAAGCUUGCUUACGUUUAUCAAAGUCGAUGGUCAAUAGGUUAGAAUGGGUUAAAUUCGUUAAGGAUGUUGACGUAAUGG